rnacentral:rRNA from 1 species
AUUGUGUGUGAAAGUUUCUAAGGGCGCAUGGUGGAUGCCUUGGCAACAGGAGCCGAAGAAGGACGUGGGAAUCUGCGAUAAGCCUGGUGGAGUCGAUAACCGGACGUUGAGACCAGGAUUUCCGAAUGGGGAAACCCCGCACGACGUGUCGUGUGACCCCCGGUUGAACACAUAGACCGGGUGGAGGGAACGUGGGGAAGUGAAACAUCUCAGUACCCACAGGAAGAGAAAACAAAAGUGAUUCCGUUAGUAGUGGCGAGCGAACGCGGAUGGGGCUAAACCGUAUGUGUGUGAUACCCGGCAGGGGGUUGCAUGUGCGGUGUUGUGGGGCCCCCUCCUUGUCAUGUCUGCCGGCAUGGCGCAGUGAGGUGCGGGGCAUAUAGACGAACAGUGUGGAUGCUGGACCUAGAGGGUGAGAGUCCCGUAGUCGAAAUGUGUUCCGCCGCUGUUGGGGGGUUGCCGGAGUAGCACGGGGCCCGAGGAAUCCCGUGUGAAUCUGCCAGGACCACCUGGUAAGCCUGAAUACUACCUGUUGACCAUAGCGGAUCAGUACCGUGAGGGAAUGGUGAAAAAGUACCCCGGGAGGGGAGUGAAAUAGUACCUGAAACCAUGUGCCUACAAAA